AGCGAACGCUGGCGGCAGGCCUAACACAUGCAAGUCGAACGAAGUCUUCGGACUUAGUGGCGGACGGGUGAGUAACACGUGGGAACGUGCCUUUAGGUUCGGAAUAACUCAGGGAAACUUGUGCUAAUACCGAAUGUGCCCUUCGGGGGAAAGAUUUAUCGCCUUUAGAGCGGCCCGCGUCUGAUUAGCUAGUUGGUGAGGUAAAGGCUCACCAAGGCGACGAUCAGUAGCUGGUCUGAGAGGAUGAUCAGCCACAUUGGGACUGAGACACGGCCCAAACGACUACGGGAGGCAGCAGUGGGGAAUCUUGCGCAAUGGGCGAAAGCCUGACGCAGCCAUGCCGCGUGAAUGAUGAAGGUCUUAGGAUUGUAAAAUUCUUUCACCGGGGACGAUAAUGACGGUACCCGGAGAAGAAGCCCCGGCUAACUUCGUGCCAGCCGCCGCAGUAAAAC
rnacentral:rRNA from 1 species